CAGGGCUCUCUGCUGACACGGAGCAGAGCUUGAUUACAUCAGAUUUGCCCAGCUAAGAUCUUGGGGAGGGGUUGGGUGGUGCAGGAGGAAGGUAAAAGGAGGAACUGAGAGAAAACAGAGGGCUGGAAGCAGAGAAAGAAGUGAAGAAGGGAAGGAGGGAGGGAAAGAGAGAGAAGGGGGGAGAAAGGUAAGUGCAUUCUGUAGAAAUUGCUGGCAGCUCCGCUCCGCAGAAAGGCCUUGGCUGGGAGCCAGCCGGCGCCUGGGCCAUCUAGGGGUGAAGUUACGCGGUUAUCGAAUUCCCCUUCCCUGGAGCCCCUGGAAAGACGUUGUUGCCAAAAACAGAGGCGGGGGCCGGGAGGGGGGAAUCCAACUCUUUGUUUUUAUCUAGGACCCGAUCUCGUGAUUCCCUCCCCCCAUUUCUCCCAGGGCUGUGGAGGGGGUUCCCGCGGGAGUUGGGCAAAGCGUGGGACGAGGACAGGUGCCUGGCACUGGGGUUUCAGAGUCGCAAAUACGCCCCAAAGGCUGGGAUGGAACGCCAGUCCCCACUCGAAGCCACUUCCAUAGAGUCGGGGCCAGGUGCGCAGCGUCCCGCGCGAUUACCUCCACUUGUCCCUUCCCCUCGCGGCCCCGCGCGCCCUGGAGCCCGCGCCCUCCUUCCCGACCCGGGGCAGCCUAGCCAGGAGCCGCGGCGGCGGCGUCUCUACCGAGGGAAGGUGGUCCCCACGCGCUCCGGCCUCAGGGCCCUCUCCACCCGCCUCGCCGCUUUCCUGUCCUGCCCACGGCCGAGGCCCCGGCAGCUGGGGUGGCCUGGAGGGUGCAGGGCCGGGCGGGGGGCGGCAGGACUGGAACUGGCGCCUGCUCUCGCGGAGGCAUCAGUAGAGCUCGCCCAGUUCUCGGGAAAUAUUUUUAUCAUUGAUAAAACGCAGUCCCCAAAGCGAGGGUCCUAUGGGCGGCCAGACGCACCGCGGGGACCUGCAGUGUACGAAACUGCUGAUAGGACUAAACCAGGGAGGGCACACAGAAGCUUGACUGCUCUCCAGAAAUACGCGGGGCUCUGUUAA
ensembl:lncRNA